rnacentral:rRNA from 1 species
CCGGCUAACUUCGUGCCAGCAGCCGCGGUAAUACGAAGGGGGCUAGCGUUGUUCGGAAUCACUGGGCGUAAAGCGUAUGUAGGCGGAUCAAAAAGUUAGAUGUGAAAUCCCUGGGCUCAACCCAGGAACUGCAUUUAAAACUAGUGAUCUAGAAUUUGGUAGGGGUUAGUAGAAUUUCCAGUGUAGAGGUGAAAUUCGUAGAUAUUGGAAAGAAUACCAGUGGCGAAGGCGACUAACUGGGCCAUUUUUGACGCUGAGAUACGAAAGCGUGGGUAGCAAACAGGAUUAGAUACCCUGGUAGUCCACGCAGUAAACGAUGAGUGCUAGUCGCUGGGACAAUAGUUUCAGUGUCGAAGCUAACGCAUUAAGCACUCCGCCUGGGAAGUACGGUCGCAAGAUUAAAACUCAAAUGAAUUGACGGGGGCCCGCACAAGCGGUGGAGCAUGUGGUUUAAUUCGAAGCAACGCGCAGAACCUUACCAGUCCUUGACAUGUGUAGUAUGGUUUCCGGAGACGGUUACCUUCAGUUCGGCUGGCUACAACACAGGUGCUGCAUGGCUGUCGUCAGCUCGUGUCGUGAGAUGUUGGGUUAAGUCCCGCAACGAGCGCAACCCUCAUUUUUAGUUGCCAGCAGGUUAAGCUGGGCACUCUAAAAAAACUGCCGGUGAUAAGCUGGAGGAAGGCGGGGAUGACGUCAAGUCCUCAUGGCCCUUACGGGCUGGGCUACACACGUGCUACAAUGGUGGUGACAGUGGGCAGCAAUACUGCAAAGUAAAGCUAAUCCCAAAAAACCAUCUCAGUUCGGAUUGGACUCUGCAACUCGAGUCCAUGAAGUUGGAAUCGCUAGUAAUCGUAGAUCAGC